UACGGAGGGGGCAAGCGUUGUUCGGAAUCAUUGGGCGUAAAGGGCGCGCAGGUGGCUCUGUAUGUCUGCCGUGAAAGCAUACAGCUCAACUGUAUUGUGUCGGUAGAAACUGCAGGACUUGAGGCUGGGAGGGGCUGGUGGAAUUCCCUGUGUAGCGGUGAAAUGCGUAGAGAUGGGGGAGAACACUCGUGGCGAAGGCGGCCAGCUAGACCAUUUCUGACACUGAGGCGCGACAGCGUGGGUAGCAAACAGG
rnacentral:rRNA from 1 species